GAGCCACAUCCUGAGGGACAGAUCACACAUCGACGAGACACUGAGGCUGGCCUCUGAGGAGAACGCAGCAGAACACUAUCAUGCUGCUAUUCAGAAGUUACGUAAGAUCUACCACUCAGCCAUCAAGCCCAUGGAACAGGCCUAUAAGUACAACGAGCUCAGAGCACAUGAGAUCUCAGGCGGACGAACACUGGGGGAUGGGAACACAGGUUGG